AUGUGCUGUGUGUCUGUAGGUCCAUGUGUGUCUGUGUGUGCAUGUGCUGUGUGUGUAUGGUAUGUCCACAUGUGUGUGCAUGUGUCUAUGUCCAUGUGGGCUGUAUGUGUGCAUGUGCUGUGCAUACGUCUGUGUGCGUGUGCUGUGUGUAUCUAUGUAUGUCCACGUGUGUGUGCAUGUGCUAUCCAUGCAUCUGUGUGUAUGGUGUGUGUGCAUGUGUCUGUGUAUAGGCUGUGUGUGCAUGUGCUGUGCAUAUGUCUGUGUAUGUGUGUGUGUGCAUGUGCUGUGCGUGUGUGUGCAUGUGCUGUGCAUAUGUCUGUAUGUCCGUUGUGUGUGCUCUGUGUGAGAGUGCUGUGUAUGUGUCUAUGUCCAUGUGUGUCUGUGUGUGCAUGUGCUUUGGUGUGUAUGUGUAUGUCUACAUGUGUGUGUGCUACGCGUGUGUAUGUGUGUGUGUGUGUGGUUAUGUGUGCAUGUGCUGUGCAUGUGUCUGUGUGUAUGCUGUGUGGGUGUCUGUGUAUGUCUGCGUGUGUUCUGUGUGUGCAUGUGCUGUGCAUGCGUCUGUGUGUGUGGUUAUGUUGUGCAUGUGUCUGUAUGUGUGUGGGCUGUGUGUGUGCAUGUACUCUGUGUGUGUCUGUGUAUGUCUGUGUGCAUGUGCUGUGCAUGUGGUGUGUGUGCAUGUGCCGUGCCUAUGUGUAUAUCUGUAUGUGUGCUGUGUGUGCAUGUGCUGUGCAUGUGUAUGUGUAUGUCUGCAUGUGUGUACAUGUACUCUGCGUGUGUCUGUGUGUUUGUGUGCUGUGUGUCUGUGUAUGUCCAUGUGUGAUCUGUAUGUGCAUGUACUGUGCAUGCGUCUGUGUUGUGUGCUAUGUGUACAUGUGCUAUGUGUGUCCAUGUGUUUGCUGUGUGUGUGUAUGUGUGUCCAUGUAUGUGUGCAUGUACUCUGCAUGUGUGUAUGUCUGUGUGCAUGUGCUGUGGUGUGGUGUGUGUGCAUGUGCUGUGCAUGUGUCUGUGUAUGUCUGCAUAUGUGUGCAUGUGCUGUGCCUGUGUAUAUGUCUGUGUGGUGCUGUGUGUGGCAUGUGCUGUGUGUGUGUAUGUCUGUGUAGUGUGCAAUGUACUCUGUGUAUCUGUGUAUGUCUGGGUGCAUGUGCUUUGCGUGUGGUGUGUGGUACAUUUGCUGUGUAUGUGUCUGUGUAUGUCUGCGUGUGUGUGCAUGUGCUGUGCGCGUGUAUAUGUCUGUGUGUGUGUUGUGUGUUCAUGUGCUGUGUAUGUGUACAUCUGCUGGUGCAUGUAUCUGUGUGUGUGCUGUGUGUGCAUGUGCUGUGUGCAUGUCUGUAUGUCCGUGUGUGUGUGUAUGUAUGUGUGCAGGUGCCCCACAGGGGGUGUACAACUGAGCACACUCACCCACAUUCUCUCAAGGGCUGUGACACUGGAUUCUUGCCUCUUUUUGUCCAGAAGUAG
rnacentral:lncRNA from 1 species